CAUGAAGCUCUUUCCUUAGAGACUCGUUCUCCCUCUUGGGAACCUUGCUACAGAACGGAGAACGCGCACCUCUUGAAGGAUAAAAUGCAUGCAUGUCUCUGUGCUCUGAGUACUGUUCAUACAUCAGAGACAUCACACUCCCUAAAUCCGGUCCCACAAGUGUGUGCGUGUGAGUGUGGCAUUUACCAACAAAUGAACAGAAGGCAACAAGAGCUCGUCUCCUAGAAAUAACAUUCCCCAUCCCUUCCCAGGCAGGCUGCUCAGAACCUUUCCAGGGGCUAACACUGGAGCGCCUUCCCCACGGGGACAGAGCCUUUACACGAACAACCCUCUCAGGGCGAAGUCAGCUUCAGCUUUGUGUUUUAAGUCCACUCGGCGCCAUAUGGCAGUUUCCAAUUCCUUUAGCAACUCAAGUCUGGCUAGGCUGCCCGCGAUGAUCCAUUCUUAAAGGAAGACCCCUUCGGGGAGCAGCAAUGCCCCCUUCACUUACCUAGCUCCCACAGACCCCGCUCAGCAGGCGGCACGGGCUCGGGCACCACAAAGGGUUGUGGGAUUCCCCGCUCCCUCCGGGGCUCCUCUCCCUGCGACGGUCCCCUUCGCCAAUGAUCUGUCGCUGGAAAUCCCCCUCCCCUCCACGGAGAGGAGGGUCUCCCCGGCUGGCUGGAGCUCCUGGCGUUUUUCCCCCUCUCCUUACAUCCCUGACUCUGUUCACGGUCUCUGGCAGGAAAGCUCAACGGAGAGGCGGCGGGAGGAAGCUAAGGAUGGAAAUCUGGUUAAGGUAAAUGUGGGAGCUGCCAAACGCAAUCUAUAUAAAGAGAAGAAAAGAAUUUGAUGCUGGCCCUGAAGGGGGAUGGAGGUAGGACAUACACCUUUUGUUUUUCCAACAGGUACAUUGAUGCUGAUCCCCACCCCCCACCCCCCUCCCAACUCACUAGUUGUCUGCAUGAUAUUUUCCUGAGAUUUGACCUGACAAGGCUGGGUACAUUUGGGAUGAGGCAUGUUGCCAUGGACUAGGAUAAAGGCUUUCAGACUUACAUACAGAAGGUACCUGUGUGAACCAUGAUCCACCCAAAAGGACUGAAUAUUGUGAACAUGUCGCCAGCAUGGUGGCUCAGAAAGCUUCUGGAACUCUUAGCAUAAUCUGGGGUUUGGAUAAAUAGGAAAUGGAAUAAUCUCCAAUAACAGAGCAAGUGCAGCCACAUGUGAAAAGAGCUCUCUUUGCAAAUACAAGGGCAUUAUUCUCAGUCCCAUUAGAAGCCAAAAGUGGAUAUAAUGAUGUAACAUGUCCCUCAUGGCCAGGCAAG
rnacentral:lncRNA from 1 species